UUUCCGUAGGUGAACCUGCGGAAGGAUCAUUAUCGUACAAAAUGUGAGGGGCGUGCGAGGGCUGUCGCUGACCCACAACCCGUUCACGCCGGAGUGUGUCCUAUUGCAUAAUAAUCCAUCUCACCCUUUGUGCAGCACCGCGUGGGCACCCUUCGGGAUCAUCUCGGAGGGGGGCUCGCGUUUUCAAGCAAAACCCCCUUUUAAAAGUGUAGAAUGACCACAUUUAUGAAAUCAAUACAACUUUCAACAACGGAUCUCUUGGCUCUC
rnacentral:misc_RNA from 1 species